GCGUAGGUGAUGGACAACAGGUUGAUAUUCCUGUACUACCGAUAACCGUUUGAGAGAAGGGAUGACACAGUAGGAUAAGCUAAGCACACUGUUGGUUAUGUGUGCCCAAGCAUUGAGGCAGUCAAAGUAGGCAAAUCCGCUUUGAUAAUGCUGGGAUGUGAUGGGGAGCGAAAUUUAGUAGCGAAGUAGCUGAUUUCACACUGUCAAGAAAAGUCUCUAUCGAGGUUAAAGGUACCCGUACCGCAAACCGACACAGGUGGGUGGUGAGAGUAUCCGGAGGCCUGCGAGAGAACUGUUGUGAAGGAGCUCGGCAAGAUGACCCCGUAGCUUAGGGAUAAGGGGUGCCACCAUCAGGUGGCCGCAGAGAAUAGGCCCAAGCGACUGUUUACCAAAAACAUAGGUUUCUGCUAAGUCGCAAGACGAUGUAUAGGAGCUGACGCCUGCCCGGUGCUGGAAGGUUAAGGGGAUCUGUUAGAGCAA
rnacentral:rRNA from 1 species